rnacentral:rRNA from 1 species
GUCUUGUUGACUAUAAUUUCAAGUYUGACCUGCCCAGUGAGGAGUUAAACGGCCGCGGUAUUUUGACCGUGCAAAGGUAGCAUAAUCAUUAGUUUUUUAAUUGUAAGCUUGUAUGAAAGGUUUGAUGAAAAAAAGACUGUCUCUGUGAAAAUUUAUUAGAAUUUUAUUUUUAAGUUAGAAAGCUUAAAUAAAGAUAGAAGACGAGAAGACCCUAUAGAGUUUAAUAUUUUAUGGAUAGCUAGGUUUUAGGUUUAUAAAAUUUAGUUAUUUUAGAAAAUAUUUUGUUGGGGUGAUAGAAAAAUUGGAUAAACUUUUUUUUGGGGGUACAUUUAUUUGUGGGUAAUUGAUCCUAGUGUAUAGAUUAUAAGAAAAAAUUACCUUAGGGAUAACAGCGUAAUUUUUUUUAGAGUUCUUAUCGAAAAAAGAGAUUGCGACCUCGAUGUUGGAUUAAAAUUUAUUUCUGGCGCAGAAGCUAGGAAAUUAGGUCUGUUCGACCUUUAAAAUUUUACAUGAUCUGAGUUUAAACCGGUGUGAG